GACGAACGCUGGCGGCGUGCUUAACACAUGCAAGUCGAGCGGUAAGGCCCUUUCGGGGUACGACGAGCGGCGAACGGGUGAGUAACACGUGGGUGACCUCGCCCUCCAGCUCUGGGAUAAGCCUCGGGAAACCGGGUCUAAUACUGGAUAUGACUCCAUGACGCAUGUUGGUGGGGUGGAAAGCCUUGUGCGGCUGAGGAUGGGCCCGCGGCCUAUCAGCUUGUUGGUGGGGUGAGGCCUACCAAGGCGACGACGGGUAGCCGGCCUGAGAGGGCGACCGGCCACACUGGGACUGAGACACGGCCCAGACUCCUACGGGAGGCAGCAGUGGGGAAUCUUGCGCAAUGGGCGAAAGCCUGACGCAGCGACGCCGCGUGAGGGAUGACGGCCU
rnacentral:rRNA from 1 species